CAGAAGACGACUGUGAAGAGUUCAUCAUGGUCUCUCCUCUUGGAUUUCUGAUCCUCUUUUCAGUUCUUGCAGCGAAAAGUUACGCUCUCUCGUGCACAAGUUGUUAUUCUGCUUCUUCCACUACAUGCUCAGGUGAUAUCGUGACUUGCCCUUCUGGUUUUCAGUGUGGAUCGACAUAUGAAGAGUCCAUCAUUGUAUUAUCCAGCAGUUCUGAGACCA